UGAGAUAAGUGACUUAGGUUUAGUUUAAU
rnacentral:piRNA from 1 species